rnacentral:rRNA from 1 species
UGGUGAGUAACGCGUGAGGAACCUGCCUUCCAGAGGGGGACAACAGUUGGAAACGACUGCUAAUACCGCAUGAUACGUUGGAGCCGCAUGACUCCGACGUCAAAGAUUUAUCGCUGGAAGAUGGCCUCGCGUCUGAUUAGCUAGUUGGUGAGGUAACGGCCCACCAAGGCGACGAUCAGUAGCCGGACUGAGAGGUUGGCCGGCCACAUUGGGACUGAGAUACGGCCCAGACUCCUACGGAAGGCAGCAG